rnacentral:rRNA from 1 species
GACGAACGCUGUUGGCGUGCCUAACACAUGCAAGUAGAGCGAAGUGAGUACUACGGUACGAACUUAGCGGCGGACGGGUGAGUAACGCGUGGACAAUCUACCCUGAAGACUGGGAUAACACCUCGAAAGGGGCGCUAGUACCGGAUAAUGUCGAGAAGCGGCAUCGCUUUUCGAAGAAAGGAGAGAAUCCGCUAUAGGAGGAGUCCGCGUCCCAUUAGCUAGUUGGUGAGGGUAACGGCCCACCAAGGCGACGAUGGGUAGCCGGCCUGAGAGGGUGAACGGCCACACUGGAACUGAGACACGGUCCAGACUCCUACGGGAGGCAGCAGUGGGGAAUAUUGUGCAAUGGGGGAAACCCUGACACAGCAACGCCGCGUGAGCGAAGAAGGCCUUCGGGUUGUAAAGCUCAAUAGUAUGGGAAGAUAAUGAUGGUACCAUACGAAAGCCCCGGCUAACUACGUGCCAGCCGCCGCAGUAACAC